rnacentral:rRNA from 1 species
GACGAACGCUGGCGGCGUGCUUAACACAUGCAAGUCGAACGCGCCUGUCCUCUGGGUUUCUGGGGGGUGGGUGAGUGGCGAACGGGUGAGUAACACGUGAGUAACCUGCCCCCUUCUUCGGGAUAACGGUCUGAAAGGGCUGCUAAUACCGGGUAUUCACUGGUCUCCGCAUGGGGUCUGGUGGAAAGGUUUUUUUCUGGUGGGGGAUGGGCUCGCGGCCUAUCAGCUUGUUGGUGGGGUGAUGGCCCACCAAGGCUUUGACGGGUAGCCGGCCUGAGAGGGUGACCGGUCACAUUGGGACUGAGAUACGGCCCAGACUCCCACGGGAGGCAGCAGUGGGGAAUAUUGCACAAUGGGCGCAAGCCUGAUGCAGCGACGCCGCGUGAGGGAUGGAGGCCUUCGGGUUGUGAACCUCUUUCGCCCGUGGUCAAGCCGCGACGUGGGUCGUGGUGAGGGUAGUGGGUAAAGAAGCGCCGGCUAACUACGUG